GAUCAACGCUGGCGGCGUGCUUAACACAUGCAAGUCGAACGAAGUUUUUCCUUCGGGAGCAACUUAGUGGCGGACGGGUGAGUAACGCGUGGGUAACCUGCCCUGUACAGGGGGACAACAGCUGGAAACGGCUGCUAAUACCGCAUAAGCACUUAGCACUGCAUGGUGCAUAGGGAAAAGGAGCAAUCCGGUACAGGAUGGACCCGCGUCUGAUUAGCCAGUUGGCAGGGUAACGGCCUACCAAAGCGACGAUCAGUAGCCGAUCUGAGAGGAUGUGCGGCCACAUUGGGACUGAGACACGGCCCAGACUCCUACGGGAGGCAGCAGUGGGGAAUAUUGCACAAUGGAGGAAACUCUGAUGCAGCGACGCCGCGUGAGUGAAGAAGUAUUUCGGUAUGUAAAGCUCUAUCAGCAGGGAAGAAAAUGACGGUACCUGACUAAGAAGCACCGGCUAAAUACGUG
rnacentral:rRNA from 1 species